rnacentral:lncRNA from 1 species
GCCUGCCUGACCCAACCGGUGGCCUCGGAUCCGGAGAUUCUGCAGACACACAUGAGUGCCUGCCACACCCUCUCGCUCCACUCCCUGCACUUUACAAUCCCAGCAGCUCUCACUCACUCAAGCCUGAACCCCAGCUCCGCUCAGCUUGCCGCCACCUAAUCCGCCAUUUCUCGCUGGUUUCCUGCUCCAUCCCUCCCUCCCCCUCUCUCUUUUCUCACAGCUGACCUCUUUUUUUUUUCCUCCUUCUACCUUGGCAUAUAAAAAUCUCAGCCUUGGCCAUGGGGUGCCUCUCUCUCUC